UACGUAGGCAGCGAGCGUUGUUCGGAGUUACUGGGCGUAAAGAGUGCGUAGGCGGUGCUCUAAGUUUGGUGUGAAAUCUCCCGGCUCAACUGGGAGGGUGCGCCCGAAAACUGGAGUGCUCGAGUAUGGGAGAGGUAAGCGGAAUUCCUGGUGGUAGCGGUGAAAUGCGUAGAUAUCAGGAGGAACACCUGCGGUGUAGACGGCUUCUGGACCAUGACUGACGCUGAGGCACGAAAGCGUGGGGAGCAAACAGG
rnacentral:rRNA from 1 species